ACCAGACUCCUACGGGAGGCAGCAGUGGGGGAUAUUGCACAAUGGGGGGAACCCUGAUGCAGCGACGCCGCGUGGGUGAAGAAGCGCCUCGGCGCGUAAAGCCCUGUCAGCAGGGAAGAAAAUGACGGUACCUGAAGAAGAAGCCCCGGCUAACUACGCGCCAGCAGCCGCGGUAAUACGUAGGGAGCGAGCGUUGUCCGGAAUUACUGGGUGUAAAGGGAGCGUAGGCGGGGAUGCAAGUUGGAUGUUUAAACUAUCGGCUCAACCGGUAAUUGCAACCAAAACUGCAACUCUUGAGUGAAGUAGAGGCAGGCGGAAUUCCUAGUGUAGCGGUGAAAUGCGUAGAUAUUAGGAGGAACACCAGUGGCGAAGGCGGCCUGCUGGGCUUUAACUGACGCUGAGGCUCGAAAGUGUGGGGAGCAAACAGGAUUAGAUACCCCUGUA
rnacentral:rRNA from 1 species